UUCCGGUUGAUCCUGCCGGACCCUACUGCUAUCGGGGUGGGACUAAAACAUGCGAGUCGCAUGAUGAAGUCGUGGCACACGGCUCAGUAACAUGUGGCUAACCUACCCUUGAGACGGAGACAACCCCGGGAAACUGGGGCUAAUCCCAGAUAGAUGAGAACUCCUGGAAUGGGUUCUCGUCCAAAAGGCUUGAUGCUCAAGGAUGGGGCCGCGGCCGAUCAGGCUGUUGGUGAGGUAACGGCUCACCAAACCUAUAACCGGUACGGGCCGCGGGAGCGGGAGCCCGGAGAUGGGAACUGAGACAAGGUCCCAGGCCCUACGGGGCGCAGCAGUUGCGAAAAUUCCGCAAUGCACGAAAGUGUGACGGGGCUACCCCGAGUGCUGUCCGCUGAGGAUGGCUUUUCCUUGGUGUAAGGACCCUUGGGAAUAAGGAGAGGGCAAGUUCUGGUGUCAGCCGCCGCGGUAAUACCAGCUCUCCGAGUGGUGGGGAUGUUUAUUGGGCCUAAAGCGUCCGUAGCUGGCUUUUCAAGUCUCUCGUUAAAUCCAGCGAUUCAAUCGUUGGACUGCGGGAGAUACUGUUGGGCUUGGGGGCGGGAGAAGCCGACGGUAUUUCCGGUGUAGGGGUAAAAUCCUAUAAUCCCGGGAGGACCACCAGUGGCGUAGGCGGUCGGCUAGCACGCGCCCGACGGUGAGGGACGAAAGCUGGGGGAGCAAACCGGAUUAGAUACCCGGAUAGUCCCAGCUGUAAACGAUGCGGGCUAGGUGUUGGAGCGGCCACGAGCCGCUUCAGUGCCGCAGGGAAGCCAUUAAGCCCGCCGCCUGGGGAGUACGGCCGCAAGGCUGAAACUUAAAGGAAUUGGCGGGGGAGCACCACAAGGGGUGAAGCUUGCGGUUUAAUUGGAUUCAACGCCGGA
rnacentral:rRNA from 1 species